GUAACAUCCCCUGUAACAGGAAUGGAUUCAUCCAGCUAUGGUAAAUGCAAUUUCUCCCCAAAUUGUAAGAAAACUAACGUGUCAGCACAGACGUCUCUGUUAAGCAGAAUUGACAAAACUAACUACGCAGAACGCAGCCAUUUUGGUAUUUUCUCCUCCAAUGAUACAAGGUGUGCAGUGUUUUAGAAACAGGGCUGUCACGUGACCUAAUU